CCUGGUGGCUCAGAGGUUAAAGCGUCUGCCUCCAAUGCGGGAGACCUGGGUUCAAUCCCUGGGUCAGGA
rfam:TPA: Bos taurus chromosome 15, whole genome shotgun sequence.